UAUAUCUACUGAUAAAAAUCUGUAAAUAUAAAUUUAUGAUAUCCACUUUUGGUAACCUUCCCUCAGACCAGUUACUAGGUCCAAAAAACAUCUCAGAUGGGCCCUUUCAAUAUAGCUUGGUUUGCAACUAUCAAGAAUUUGCUGUUUCUCACUUAGUAAAGUGACCUGAUUAAGUAUUCAGUAGGGUUGUCCUGGGAACAGGUGUCCCCUUGGAGAUAGGGGAUGAGAUGAAGUGGCGUUGCACUCAAAUGUGGUAUGAGUCUUGUUCUUUUUCCCUAUUAGAUUUUUCUAUAAUUGGUUAUAUUAUAGUCGCUAUAAUUUCUCUAAUUUUCCAUUGUUUAUUUUAAUGUAUGUGUCAAAUUGUUUCCAAUUUAUAGUGGCCCUGCAGCUUACCUACCAUGGGAUUUUCUUGACAAUUCUUUUCAGAGCACAUUGUCAUUGUCUUUCUCUUUUACUGAAAUACUGUGACUUGUCCAACGUCACCCAGGUGGAUUUCUAUUUUUGACAAGAGAUGUGAAUUGUUACCAGGAUUCCUUGUCCAGCUUUUAAGUCCUAGUCCAUGACAACACAGUGGAUCUCAGAUCUAGACUAACUUAUUUUAAUCUCAAAAAGAGCAGGAAAGAGCACAUUGAAAGUAGUGAUGUAACAGUAUAUAAAGGGAUCUUGUAUCAUUUUUAAGACUAUAUAAGAGAAAGAAGUUGGUAGCAUAAGAUUUUAUAGACUAAGUGUAUUUUCUCAGAUGCAUGAAGUGCCCUUAUGCCACCAACUUCAUUUUCUCAGUUAAACUCAAAGGUACAGUAGAGUCUCACUUAUCCAACGUUGGUUUAUCCAACAUUCUGGAUUAUCCAAUGCAGUCAGCUUUUUAGUAGUCAAUGUUUUUGUAGCCAACGUUUUCAAUACAUUGUGAUAUUUUGGUGCUAAAUUCGUAAAUACAAUAAUUACUCCAUAGCAUUAUUACAUAUCGAACUACUUUUUCUGUCAAAUUUGUUGUAUAACAUGAUGCUUUGGUGCUUAAUUUGUAAAAUCAUAACCUAAUUUGAUGUUUAAUAGGCUUUUCCUUAAUCCCUCCUUAUUAUCCAACAUAUUCACUUAUACAAUGUUCUGCCAGCCCGUUUAUGUUGGGUAAAUGAGACUCUACUGUACUACAAAAUCUCUUCACAUACUUAUAUUCCAGAUCAACCCAGCUGUCUUUGAAUCUAAUCCCUGUAGUCCUAUAUUAUAUCUAUAAUGUCAAAAAACUAGAAAUUUGAAAGAGGCUGACUCGUUACAUAUUUACUGUGGGGUGGACAUUACAGGAUAGGUGUUUGAUAGCCGUACUUGAUGCACAAUUGUGCGUAGCAAUAUAUUGCUACUGCAUUGUGCUCAACAUUUUCUGAUUAACAGUCUUCUUUUACAACAAGGAUUUUUUUUAACAGAGUAGAAAGGAGAAGACAUAUAUGAUAGCAACACUAAUUUGCUGAACUAACAGCAAAAGUUGUGGCUAUUGGACUAUCAUAUCAUAUUAGUUCUAACAGUAUGCAAAUAUAAGAUUACAACCCUAGACACCAGUGUUCUUAUGAAACGAAGAUUUUUAAAAAAUAAAAUGUUAAAAAGAAAACAACAAGCUUUGGCUUGUUUAUUUAUUUAUUAACUUGGUAAUAUAUUAGAACAUUUUUGGGAACGACCUCAGUAAAAACUAAAUAUUGCUGUUCUUCUGUGAUGCCUAAUAAUUGUUAUAAUAUUAACAAUAAUGUAAUACAACAUAUCUGUCAGGGUUUGCAAUACAGGCGAAGAUGAAAGGCUGCUAGGCCCAGCAUCUGAGUUAACUCGGGAUCAGGAGAGCAAUGAGGCAGAGUUAAGUAUCCCAGAAAGAUUACAGCUGAGAACCCAUGCUAUUCAGCUGUGUAGAUCCGCCCAGUUGGCACAGAAGGGCCAACAGGUGAGAGCACUUGUGCUAUGGAGCAUAAAGAGUGGCAGUUUGGAUUUGGCCUUUGCUGGGUGCAAUGUUUGGAAUCUGCUACAGCUUGGAGUUCUGUAGGAUGUGUCUUAUCAUGUGUUAGACCUUGACUUUGGACUACGUAUAGUUUGGAUGUGUUGAGCUCAGAGGGCAUCUAGCCAUUUAGGAUAGCUCCACUGGAAGACUUGAUGAAGGCAGAAAACUACAAUUUUGUUUCUGCUACCAUGGCACUGGAGUAUAUCCAGAGUAAACCAAGAGAUUUGCUGAGCUCCACUUAGUGGGAAGGGAUGCUCAGAGACAAUUGCAGAAGUUUCAACAGUAUCACCUCCUAUGGCAACAAGAAACUCCCCAAAAGCCACCAGGGAUCCAGAUAGG